UCAGAGAUUCCAUCUCUUAAAAUAGUUCAGGCUUCUGCGAAUUCAUUAGCUGCGCCAAAAUGAGUUGCAUUUGGACGACGUCAACCAAUAGGCCAGAACCUCACAGCCAAAAUGAGUUGGUUAUCCGAAGAGAAGAAACAAUUUUGGCAGACGAGUCAGGGUAACUUUAAAUGCUAUCGCUUUUUUCUCAUUUUCGGGGUAUUUGUUGUCUGCCUGAGAUACAAUUAGAGAAAUCGGCCUCCAUUUCCUUUUUCUUUGUCUUUGUAUGUCAUGUAAUGCUCCAUAUGUUAUUAGAUUAAAGUGUUUGAGAUUAUAUAGUGAAAGUUCAAUGAAGGUGUGUGUUUCAAGAACUGGUGUAUAGUUUUAUUGUGAUGCAUUUAUGCAUUUUCUCUGAUCAGGAUAUGCAUCAUUGAUGGCAGUCAAGUUUUGGGUGGUGAAAAAAAAUCAAAUCAGUCUGUGCCUGGGACAACACAUCUUUCACUUACAAUUUUUUGGGUUUUUUUUUUUUUUUGUUUUAAGUUUUAUUUUCCAUAGUGAUUAAAAAUACUUGAUUUGGAACAUGCCUGUGUAUAUUAAUGUGGUUUUGGACAUGAUAGCUGACAAGCAUUGUUGAAAAUAAGUUGUGAAUCUGCUGAAACGUUGUGAACUGUAACUUAUCCAUUCCACCUGUCAGCGACGCAUUUGAUUUUGCUUUCACCCUGAAGGCUCUUUGUUCCUCUUUCUUUUGAGUUCUUUGUCACCAAAAAUUUAACCUUUUGAGAUGGUCGGACUCAUAUUUGUCAGUUUCUUCUCCAUUUAGUAACUGGUAUAAGCAGUUAAUGGAAACACUAAAGUGGUUUGGAACUCCUUUCCACUUUCUUUAGUUUCCAUCCUUAAUGGGAGGAUGGAUAUAUUUGAGAGGUCCCUGGGUAAGCAACAAAAGAGAUACAUACACCAUUACUGUAAAAGUUGAAUCACUCAGAAGACACAGUAUACAAGCACGUUUCAGUGGUUCAUUCAGCAGCGAAUUCAUCAAGCAAUGGCAGGAGGGCUCUUACAGACACAGGCAAGAGCGAUUUUCAGCACCGCAGCUAUCUCGUCUUCCUUGUUGAGAUCACAAGCUAAGCAGGGGUCCAAGAUAUCUAUCAUCAGCUUCCCAUCCUCAAGCAUGAGAUGAAUCCAUUGAACCAGAUCCAUUUCGAGGGAACCUAUCUGAAUCAUUGGCAGCUUCCCAGUAAUCAUCUCUAGUAGGAUUACUCCAUAUGAGUAUACAUCCCACUUCUGUGUUGGCUUUCUGACUUUUGAAACUUCAGGAGCCUGAUAAUAAGAACUGCUCAAGGGGUCACUUGUUCGCAUUGGCCUGCUUCUGAUUCUUCAGCUAUAUUAGCAAGGCGGCAAAGUCCAAUAUCAGAGAUGUGAGGUUCCAUGUUCUGCCCAAGCAGAAUAUUGCUAGGCCUCAAAUCUCCAUGGACAUACCUUCUGGGGCUGAAUUCAUGUAGAAAGGCCAAGCCAUUUGCUAUUCCUUUUAUGAUUCUAAGACGAAUGGCCCAAGAGAGAGGUCUGGCAGGGGCAAGCUUACCAUGAAGUGCAGUGGAAAGAUCACCAUUGGGUAUAUAAUCAUAGAUGAGAAGCUUCUCCUCGACAGACCAGAAGUAAGCACGGAGACUGACAAUAUUUGGAUGCCUAAUCUUUCCAACUGCUUC